rnacentral:rRNA from 1 species
GGGACGAACGCUGGCGGCGUGCUUAACACAUGCAAGUGGAGCGACGAACCAGGGCUUGCCCUGGGGCAGAGCCGCGAACGGGUGAGUAACACGUGGGUUACCUGCCUCGAUGACUGGGACAACCCGGGGAAACUCGGGCUAAUACCGGAUGUGCCCGCAAGGGGAAAGGAAGCUUCGGCCUCCGCAUCGAGAUGGGCCCGCGGCCCAUUAGCUUGUUGGUGAGGUAACGGCUCACCAAGGCUUCGAUGGGUAGCUGGUCUGAGAGGACGAUCAGCCACACUGGGACUGAGACACGGCCCAGACUCCUACGGGAGGCAGCAGUGGGGAAUCUUGCGCAAUGCGCGAAAGCGUGACGCAGCAACGCCGCGUGGGGGAAGAAGGCUUUCGGGUUGUAAACCCCUUUCAGUUGGGACGAAGCUUCGCCGGUGAAUAGCCGGCCGGAGUGACGGUACCUUCACAAGAAGCACCGGCUAACUACGUGCCAGCAGCCGC